UAGAGUUUGAUCCUGGCUCAGGAUGAACGCUGGCGGCGUGCCUUAAGCAUGCCAGUCCAACGGGGUCCGCAAGGACCCAGUGGCGGACGGGUGAGUAACCGCUAGAAAUCCUACCCCUAGGUGGACCCUAGCUCCUCGAAAGAUGGGGUAAUAGUCCCUGGUUCCGGAAACGGUAAAGCAAUUAACUUUGCGCCCAGGGAGGAGUCUGCGUCCUAUCAGCUAGUUGGUGGGGUAAUGGCCUACCAAGGCAAUGACGGGUAGCUGGACUGAGAGGUCGAUCAGCCACAACUGCACUUAGACACGGGCAGUACACCUACGGGUGGCAGCAACUGGGAAUAUUGCGCAAUGGGGGAAACCCUGACGCAGCGACGCCGCGUGGAGGAUGAAGGCCUUAGGGUUGUAAACUCCUUUUAAUAGACCUUUCACGGUCUAUAGAAUAAGCCUCUACUAACUACGUGCCAGAAGUCUCGGUAAUACGUAGGAGGCGAGCGUUAUCCGGAUUUAUUGGGCGUAAAGUGUGCGUAGGCGGAUCGAUGUGUCUUCUCUUAAAGACUGAAGCUUAACUUCAGCAGUGGGGAAGAAACUAUCGAACUUGAGGAUUGUUAGGGAUGUCGGAACAGUUAGUGUAGCAGUGAAAUGCGUUGAUAUUAACUGGAACACCAAAGGCGAAGGCAGACAUCUGGGAUUUUCCUGACGCUGAGGCACGAAAGCUAGGGUAGCGAAACAGAUUAGAUACCUGUGUAGUCCUAGCUGUAAACGAUGUCCGCUAGCUCUGUGCGUUUACGUACGGGGUGUAAGCUAACGCGUUAAGCGGACCGCCUGGGGAGUACGGCCGCAAGGCUAAAACUCAAAGGAAUUGACGGGGACCCGCACAACCGGUGGAGCGUGUGGUUCAAUUCGAGACAAAACGAAAAACCUCACCAGGACUUGACAUGAUACCGUACAUUUUCCUAGAAAUAGGGAGAAAUCCGCAAGGAUGGUACCACAGGUGCUGCAUGGCUGUCGUCAGCUCGUGCCGUGAGGUGUUCCCUUAAGUGGGGAAACGAGCGCAACCCGCGUCCAAUGUGGAAUAUUCAUUGGAGACUGUCCCGGUUUUACCGGGGAGGAAGGAGCGGAAGACGUCAAGUCAGCACGGCCCUUAUGUCCUGGGCUACACACACACUACAAGGGCGAAAAACAACGGGCUGCAAGCCGGUAACGGCAAGCUAAUCCCUUAAAUUUCGCCUCAGUUCAGAUGGAGGUCGGCAACCGGACCUCAGGAAGUGGGAAUCGGUGGUAAUCGGGGAUCAGAAGGCCGCGGGGAAUACGUUCUGGGGUCUGGUACACACCGCCGGUCAAGGCAGCAAAGUCGGUAGU
rnacentral:rRNA from 1 species